AAUGAACGCUGGCGGCAUGCCUAAUACAUGCAAGUCGAACGAGACCUUCGGGUCUAGUGGCGCACGGGGGCGUCACGCGUGGGAAGAUGCACUUGGGGUUGGAAUAACUCUCCGACAGGGGUGCUAUCACCGGAUAAUAUCUUCUGCCCAAAAAUUUAUCGCCUUUGGUUGGGCUCGCGUGGGAUUAGCUUUUUGAUGGGGUAAAAGCCGACCCAGGCGAUGAUCCAUAGCUGGUCUGAGAGGAUGUUCAGCCACCCUGGGACUGCGACACGGCCCAGACUCCUACGGGAGGCAGCAGUGGGGCAGAUUGGACCCUGGUCGAAGGCCUGAUCCUUCAAUUCCGCAUGAGUGAUGAAGGCGUUAGGGUUGUAAAGCACUUUUACACGGACUGAUAGUGACUGCCCAGGGAGAAUACCCUCCGGAUCACCCCG
rnacentral:rRNA from 1 species